rnacentral:rRNA from 1 species
UACGGAGGGUGCAAGCGUUGUUCGGAAUCAUUGGGCGUAGAGCGCGUGUAGGCGGCUUGGCAAGUCGGUUGUGAAAGCCCGGGGCCCAACCCCGGAACUGCAUCUGAAACUGCCUGGCUAGAGUCCCGGAGAGGAAGGCAGAAUUCCCGGUGUAGGGGUGAAAUCCGUAGAUAUCGGGAGGAAUACCAGCGGCGAAGGCGGCCUUCUGGACGGUGACUGACGCUGAGACGCGAAAGCGUGGGGAGCAAACAGG